CGCAGACUGCGGGUGCAGGUGAAGGGUAGCGGGGAGAGGCAGGGUUUCCAGGGAUUUGUUCUCAGGUACGAGAGCCCAGGGAGAAGGAGCCUAACGCGGAUUCCUUACCACUGAGCCAUGAGGCAAAGCCCUGCAAAGACACGAUGACUGCCGAGUAGGUCAAAGCUGAACCAUUCUCAGAGCCAGCUUAGGGCUAGGAGAUGUUUUGAGUCCCCCCGCCAGAAUGGAGAGAACUCAUUCAUUGUUCAAGGACCUUCAGAGUGACCUCAAAAUUGUCAUGCCUUAGUAGGGGGUAGACCAGAUGCAACAAAGCUUAAAAACAAACCUACAAAGGAUCAAGCUGAUCUGCAAAGUGUUUUGUUUUCCUAACCUGAAGAUCUGGGAAACAGUGAAGCAAUUUUGAUCCAGAAAUUAGGCACUUGUUAGGUGCAGAAGUUUCUGUGCUGAAAGACCUGAAAAUAUUGAAAGCUACAAAACAAAAACCGAUGCUGGCUGGGCAGCUGAAACCAAUUAUGCAGGAAAUUUGGCAUCUGAAGUAAACAGUACAUCUGAAUACUUGGAAUGAUUCUCAAUUAUAUUUAAGUAGUUUUCCUUUUCUCCAGUUGUACAGCCCUCCUCCUAAUCCACCUCCCCAGGCAGUACUCAUGAAUUUUUGCUUGAAAAUGAUUUCAGUUGUUUUCCAUUUUAUCUUUUAUCUCUGCCGUUUUUCUUUGCUUCCUCAUUUCAUGAUUUUUU
ensembl:lncRNA